UGGGAACAAAUAACGAAAACCAGAAAGUCAUUUCAAAAUCGGUUUUCGGAUAUUUUUAAUUUUAAACGUGACACAAUAAACUAUUAGUUUGCUUUACGGCUUAUCUCGUGUUGCUUGUCUAACUAUUGACUGCCCAUUUUUUUUUUAGUCUCUCGCCAAUCACGGUGCGUUCGUUGGGUUCCUCCGUACGUGCCCACUGCAAAGUCCCUCACCUUUCGUGCCCUGUGCGUGAAAUCAUGUUGUGUUUCACCGGUUCAUGUUAUGCGGCAGUGAAAUGUGUUCCGUGUGUUCUACGGCAACAUCUGAACCACGCGCUCUUACAACUACAAGCUCACCGGAUUCACGCUGUGCUGACCAGCGUUGGUACGGCUGCUCCAUCUUCGUGUGUCGUGAUAGCCGUCGUGAGCCAUGCUCGGCGGAACCGCGAAGUGGAUUUAUCUCUGCAAAAUGUGAAUGCAACGCUGGCCUUUUUUAUACAUCUUCAAGUGGCAUAUCCGCUUUUGAGCCGGUGCUUGCAUUGAAGGCGCUGGAAGUAGCGCGUGGAUCAGGCAGAUAACAUCUAUCCACAGCACCAUGCUACUGCUGCAAUAAUUGCUGAAGAGUCAUGCAUGCUGAGCCAGAGAGAGGCACAUUUCUACUCGAGGCGGACAGUGGACCUCACUAGGGGAGGUGUGAAAAGGAAACGGCGCACUGCCACUUUUUCAACAGCUGGGAGUACGGAUAUGCUCUUUUGCCACCUGUGCCCUUUCACAACGAAUUCGAAGCACAGCUUGAAGAGCCACAUGCUGAUACACACUGGCGAAAGGCGCUUCGAAUGCACGGUCUGUUCUCUGAAGUUUGCGCACAAGUGCACCCUCAAGCGCCACAUGCGAACGCACACUGGCGAAAAACCAUACAAGUGUCAGCUGUGCCCAUACGAAGCAGCCGACUAUAGCUCCUUGACGCUGCACAUGACAAACCAUACCGGACACAAGCAGUUUGCAUGCGGCAUGUGCUCGUAUGUCACUUCUCGUAAUUGUGACAUAAUGAAGCAUAUACGCAUUCACACGGGUGACAGGCCUUACAAGUGUGACAAGUGUUCCUACGCCUCGGCCAACCAGAGCACACUGAAUAGACACAUACGUUCAAAACAUGCUAAGUAAUCUUCAAAAGAAAUGAGGCAUGCCUUGCAUGUAAAAGUGUGAGAAAGAGACUCGGAAGAGAUGGCAUUGAAAGUGUAAGGUUUGGUUCAGCUGAAUCAAUUAGUGCUGAAAAUGUCCAGUUCAUCGUACAGUCAAACUUACCAUUGUUCUUUCUUUCUUUCUAUUGCAAACUGUCGCAAACGAUGGCAGUGUUUACUAUAAAAGCUGCAAUGAGGCAGCCUGAGGUGCCCUUAGCCUCCCUGGCACACGGUGGCAGUGAGUUGCUGUCAUCACAUUACGAAAACAUGGUUUUCGAAAAAAGUUAAGGGAAAUAAUUAUGCAAUCCAAGAGAGCUUUCAAUGGAACAACAGGAAAAUGUAACAAUGCCAAGUGAAAACAAUGCAGACAUGUCACACCACUGCAUUACAUGCGUUUAACAACACGCGUGUAAAUGCAGGCAGAAAAGAAAAUGUGCUUGAAUAAUUAAGAGAGAGAUAGCAUAAGUGAAAAAGAUUUCAGAGAAUGUUAUGUUUGUGUUAUGAAUGCCAGCAUCAUGAAAUGAAUUAAGCACUCUGCUUAAUUUGUUUUGAUGACUUGCAAGCCAUAAUUUCAUCUUUUUCGAUAACUUUAUCUUUGACAACUUGAUCAGGUUGUGGCUUUAUGCAUAUUUACUUCUCUUGCUGAGUUAUAGUUUUGAGGGGCUGUCUUCUGUGAUCUCUGUACUGUACAGAUAGGUGUUUACAGGUCUAGUGGUUUACUCUGUAUGCAUAUGCUUCCAGAGUUUAUACAAUGGCCGAUUUGGCACAUAUAAAGGGAUAUGUAGCAGGAAUAAUUGAACUUCCACAGCUUUCCUUGCCCAGCUGCAGUGUAUUUGCUUGUUUUGGUCGUCCUUUUUUGUGAUGCAGUUUAAGGCUUUCCUUUUACACUGACCAUUUGUUACGACAUAGAUAUGGCUGUAACACAGAAUGUUCAAGUUUACCUAAUAUAGGGGGCAUCUCAAGAGUAACUAUGCUCAUGUUUAGUGUGCAAGCAUUUUUGUGUGCUGUUUGGAUGGCAAACAAAAGUUAAAAUAAAUUUCAAAUUUGUAUGUUGCCAAAAUUGUGAUCAAAGUUUAGGCAUGCCAUAAUGGUGGACUGGAAUAAAUUUAAUGACUUGGUAUUCUGAAAAGUGCACUGAAUACACAAUGCCUGAACGUUUUGCAUUCAAUCCUUAUGUGAAUAAAGUUUCUGCAGCCAAGAUUAAAAUCGCAACCUCAUGCUAAGACGCCAUGGCAGAAGGGGAUUUGGUUGGCGUUGCAUGAACUUCCGUCAGUGCAGUGCCAACAAAACCACCUUGCAUUGUUGCACUGUGCUUGUGAUGUUGAGAAACCUUUCUAGGGCAUCCUAGUAUCCCACUGUAAGGAGUGUGAUUGUGUGUCUGAAUAUUCGUGCAUGUAAAUUAACAAAACUGCAUAGGUAUGUUAUCAGAAACAAAUGAUUUAUGUAGCACAAUAAAUAAGUUGGUGUGAUAAAUAUGCUUACGUUGUGACACGAA
rnacentral:lncRNA from 1 species